rnacentral:ncRNA from 1 species
UAAUGAUGUAUCUACAUUGCCUUUUCCGCAUAAAUGAAUAAUAUUGUAGUCCACUAGCAAAUCGGUUAAAUUCAUGCGUAAUGCCUCAUUUAAUACAACUGAGCCUAAGCUCCCCCCCAUCACAAGCAAUACUUUUUUGGA